ACCCGCUGAACUUAAGCAUAUCAAUAAGCGGAGGAAAAGAAACCAACAGGGAUUGCCCUAGUAACGGCGAGUGAAGCGGCAACAGCUCAAAUUUGAAAUCUGGCUCUUUUAGAGUCCGAGUUGUAAUUUGCAGAGGGCGCUUUGGCUUUGGCAGCGGUCCAAGUUCCUUGGAACAGGACGUCACAGAGGGUGAGAAUCCCGUACGUGGUCGCUGGCUAUUGCCGUGUAAAGCCCCUUCGACGAGUCGGGUUGUUUGGGAAUGCAGCUCUAAAUGGGAGGUACAUUUCUUCUAAAGCUAAAUAUUGGCCAGAGACCGAUAGCGCACAAGUAGAGUGAUCGAAAGAUGAAAAGCACUUUGGAAAGAGAGUCAAACAGCACGUGAAAUUGUUGAAAGGGAAGCGCUUGCAGCCAGACUUGCUUACAGUUGCUCAUCCGGGCUUUUGCCCGGUGCACUCUUCUGUAGGCAGGCCAGCAUCAGUUUGGGCGGUAGGAUAAAGGUCUCUGUCACGUACCUCUCUUCGGGGAGGCCUUAUAGGGGAGACGACAUACUACCAGCCUGGACUGAGGUCCGCGCAUCUGCUAGGAUGCUGGCGUAAUGGCUGU
rnacentral:rRNA from 1 species